rnacentral:rRNA from 1 species
AUUGAACGCUGGCGGAAUGCUUUACACAUGCAAGUCGAGCGGCAGCACGGGGGCAACCCUGGUGGCGAGCGGCGAACGGGUGAGUAAUACAUCGGAACAUGCCCAGUCGUGGGGGAUAACACUUCGAAAGAAGUGCUAAUACCGCAUACGUCCUGAGGGGGAAAGCGGGGGAUCGCAAGACCUCGCGCGAUUGGAGUGGCCGAUGUCAGAUUAGCUAGUUGGUGGGGUAAAGGCCUACCAAGGCAACGAUCUGUAGCUGGUCUGAGAGGAUGAUCAGCCACACUGGGACUGAGACACGGCCCAGACUCCUACGGGAGGCAGCAGUGGGGAAUUUUGGACAAUGGGGGCAACCCUGAUCCAGCCAUUCCGCGUGAGUGAAGAAGGCCUUCGGGUUGUAAAGCUCUUUCGGCAGGAACGAAACGGUGAGCUCUAACAUAGCUUGCUAAUGACGGUACCUGAAGAAGAAGCACCGGCUAACUACGU